CAAAGGUUUGGUCCUAGCCUUUCCACUAGUUGUUAAAAAGAUUACACAUGCAAGUCUUAGCACCCCGGUGAAAAUGCCCUCUAAAUCACCAGUGAUCAAAAGGAGCAGGUAUCAAACACACUAAAAUGUGGCUCAUAAUACCUUCUUUAACCACAACCCCACAGGAUACAGCAGUGAUAAAAAUUAAGCCAUGAACGAAAGUUAGACUAAGCUAUAUUAAACAGGGUUGGUAAAUUUUGCGCCAGCCAUGGUGGUCAUAUGAUUAACCCAAAUUAAUAGACUUAGGGUGUAAAGUGUGUUAAAGAGAACCCUGCACUAAAGUUAAAUCUUAACUAGGUUGUAAAAAGCUACAAUUAAUAUAAAAAUAAGUCACAAAAAUGACUUUAAUUCCUCCUGUUACACUAUAGGUAAGGCCCAAACUGGGAUUAGAUACCCCACUAUGGGUGCUUUAUAUCUCUCUAGAGGAGCCUGUUCUGUAAUCAAUAAACCCCAAUAUACCUCAGUACCCCUUGCCAAUUCAGUCUAUAUAUUGCCAUCUUCAGCAAACCCUACAAAGAAAGAAAAGUAAUAACAACUAUCAUAUAUCAAAAAGUUAGGUCAAGGUGUAACUCAUGAGGUAGGAAGAAAUGGGCUACAUUUUCUACAUAAAAACACAAUUCCCUAUGAAAAUUCUUAUGAAACUGAGAACUAAAGGAGGAUUUAGUAGUAAAUUAAGAAUAGAGAGCUUAACUGAAUUGGGCCAUGAAGAAAGCACACACUACCCGUCACUCUCAAGUGACAUWAACCUAAAGACAACUUAUUCAAAUAACAAAAACACAAGAGGAGAUAAGUCAUACCAAGGUAAGCAUACUGGAAAGUAUGCACGGAUAAAC
rnacentral:ncRNA from 1 species